rnacentral:rRNA from 1 species
UACGUAGGUGGCAAGCGUUAUCCGGAUUUAUUGGGCGUAAAGGGAACGCAGGCGGUCUUUUAAGUCUGAUGUGAAAGCCCUCGGCUUAACCGGAGUAGUGCAUUGGAAACUGGGAGACUUGAGUGCAGAAGAGGAGAGUGGAACUCCAUGUGUAGCAGUGAAAUGCGUAGAUAUAUGGAAGAACACCAGUGGCGAAAGCGGCUCUCUGGUCUGUAACUGACGCUGAGGUUCGAAAGCGUGGGUAGCAAACAGG